GUGGGGAAUAUUGGGCAAUGGGGGAAACCCUGACCCAGCAACGCCGCGUGAAGGAAGAAGGUUUUCGGAUCGUAAACUUCUAUCCUUGGUCAAGAUAAUGACGGUAGCCAAGAAGGAAGCCCCGGCUAACUACGUGCCAGCAGCCGCGGUAAUACGUAGGGGGCAAGCGUUGUCCGGAAUGAUUGGGCGUAAAGGGCGCGUAGGCGGCCUGGUAAGUCUGGAGUGAAAGUCCUGCUUUUAAGGUGGGAAUUGCUUUGGAUACUGUCGGGCUUGAGUGCAGGAGAGGUAAGCGGAAUUCCCGGUGUAGCGGUGAAAUGCGUAGAGAUCGGGAGGAACACCAGUGGCGAAGGCGGCUUACUGGACUGUAACUGACGCUGAGGCGCGAAAGUGUGGGGAGCAAACAGGAUUAGAUACCCCUGUAGUCC
rnacentral:rRNA from 1 species